rnacentral:misc_RNA from 1 species
UACGGAGGAUCCAAGCGUUAUCCGGAAUCAUUGGGUUUAAAGCGCACGUAGGCGGGAUAAUAAGUCAGUGGUGAAAGUCUGCAGCUCAACUGUAGAAUUGCCAUUGAUACUGUUGUUCUUGAGUGUUUAUGAAGUGGUUAGAAUAUGUAGUGUAGCGGUGAAAUGCAUAGAUAUUACAUAGAAUACCGAUUGCGAAGGCAGAUCACUAAUAAAAUACUGACGCUGAUGGACGAAAGCUCGGGUCACGAACCGG